UGCCCUUUGUACACACCGCCCGUCGCUACUACCGAUUGAAUGGCUCAGUGAGGCCUUCGGACUGGCUCGAAGAGGUUGGCAACGACCACUUCGAGCCGGAAAGUUCGUCAAACUCGGUCAUUUAGAGGAAGUAAAAGUCGUAACAAGGUUUCCGUAGGUGAACCUGCGGAAGGAUCAUUA
rnacentral:rRNA from 1 species